CUUCUACACUGAACAGAAUGAAGGUCAUCCUGACCAUGUACAUAUGUACUAGAAGGGAAACUGAAGGUAGAGAAAUGGUGUAAAAAAAAAUGCUAUCAAUCAGGACUCACUACAGCAUUUUCCUGCUAAGGAACCUCAGCACAAUCCCAAAUUCUAAAGCCCACGGCUAAGUAGUAAGUACCCAAGUAUGAAUACCCACACUGCACUCAUGUAACUAACUCGUCAAAUCCUCUCCCGCCUCACUCAUACAUAAUACAAGCUCCUGGCACCGAGAUCAAAUUUGCUUAAUAAAGUUUAUCUCUUUCCAAAAUCUUAUCAACACAAUCACUUCGGCAGGCAAAUAUGAUAACUAAAUUAAAUGAUAAUUAAAAAUUUCUUGUAAAUGUAAUUGAAAUAUGCACCCAACAGUUCCAUCCCUGUCUCUACUUCAGCUGAGAAAAAAGAAAAACGUCAAACUGUCUUGUUUUCCUUUGUCUUUCCUGAAUUUCCUUGGCAAAGAUCUUUUUUGUUUGUCUUUGGUUAUCCUGAGCUACAAAGUAUCUUUUGUUUCAUUCAUACUGACAAUUUCUGAGACCCCUCUGUGAUAGCCACCAAACGUCUGCGAGAACACCGGCCUUUUCAAACCACUGUCCACAUGUGUAGGAAGCAUGAAUUCUCCGGUUUGUGCUGUGUCCAGCUGAAGUUUUUAAGACGGAAGAGGUUUUAUUGAGCAAAGGCGUGAAUCACAACAGCUGAUGGAGCUUUUGCAAUAGGAACUCUAAAGGCAUCAUUUGCAAGAUAUUUCUGACCUGGAAAGGAAUGCACUUUGCUUUGGAAGUUCGCCAUUAUGAACUGUCUUAGUUCUGCAGAGCCACGUUCAUUCGGAAGCAUCUGGAAGCAUCUGUAGGUUUCCUGACACAUCCAAGCCCAGUGUCUCACUUAGCCAAAUCAUCUUUCAUUGGAAGAAGACAACAUUAAGCAAGGAAAAAGAAACAAAGCAAAAACAGCCUAAAGGUCUGAGAGUGAGAGGCUAAACCAUGUAUAAUUAAUUUCUAAGCAAAGGCAGCCUUGGCCGGCCUUCCCUCCAUACUCACAAGAACUCCAAUGAACCAGGGAGCCCUAGGUCAUAGAAGAAAUUACUCAUGCUGCAAUGGAGGAUGCAUCUUUCUGCAGGCCCUGGUGACAACCAAUCACACGUAACAGAAGAGAAGCUCUCUCCGAACUGAAGCCCUUCCCAAACUACCAACUCGGGCAAGCCUCAACACUCCUGGGCACCAGGCAUGUGUGGGAGAUGGGAGCACUCUGUGCUCUUAGUGGUGCCAACACCACUGCUAAGUGCAAGAUGAAACCGACACACAGCUGCACCUUUUGGAGGCAUUCUCCAUUUAAAAGAAAGAAAAGAAAAAGUUAGUGCCUGGCAGGACAGAGUGGAAAGUUUAAGCAGAAACAUCAAAACGGCAGAGGCUGCCCCAGCCAAGUAUUUCAUUCCUAAUGGAAGCAGCUUGGAAGUGUGUAAAAAAACGGCUCGUUACCACUCAAAAUGUAACUGGAAAUACACAGGAAAGAAAGGAUAUAUGCAAAUGGGGACCAAUAUUAAAUCAAGAUGUUAAACUGUCUAAUGACUUGAUGCAUCCAUGCUUUAUUCCUGUCCAAAAAAAAUAUAUAAGUAAAUAAAUAAAACUUCUCUUGUGACUUCAAAA